ACCCCAGCAAUUCCCUCCCAGAAGAUAGGAAGGACUCAGAGAGGCAGGCGACGGCUGCUGGGGGACGUGCUGGUGCAGCCCGAGAGGCAGCAGAGUGGUGGAGAUGGAAUAAUGAUGAUGUCGGCCCCACAGCUGCAGCCCUGUGUGGAAAUGCUAGCAAGGGGGUGGAGUUGGAGGAAAAGGCCCCUUGGGAAGCCAGAGAUUGGGUGGCCAAUCCACUUGCCUGGCCAAGGGAGAAGGAGCAAGCUGGAAGCGGGGAGGAUUGUCCUAAAUGGAGGGCUUUAUUUAAGGCAGGGACUGCCGAAGAUGAGAUGAUCAGCAGGGAAGGGGGUUGUUGGUCCGGUGGGCUCCCGGGGAGGAGCACGGACCUUUAUUCCCGCUGACAGGUGAAGGAGUGGAGUGAAUAUACUUCCCUCCUCCCCAACUCUGAGGCAAUGCCCGUGCCUGGAAUUUCAUGUGAGAGGGCGUGAAGGUUAAUUGGGGAAAUCCACCUCCCUUAAACAGACACAUUAAUUUUCUGCAUUCAUAUACCGCCUUCUGCCAAUGCAUUCAAGGCGAAGCCAGUUCACCAUUUAAAAUAAUGGUUCAUCAUUUAAUAUACACAAAACCCAAAGUAAAAGAGAUGGUAACAGAGAGGCAAAUGAGCAAAUUUAGGUUCUAUGGUUACUGAGGGAGAAAGUUCUGGGAGGGGAGGUGCCAAAUGGCAGUUGGUCCCAGCUGGGCCGAAGUAGUGAGCCUUGCUAUCUUACCUCUCCCCAGAGGUGCACCUAGGUAAUUUUGGAGGCCGGAUCUAAAGGUCUUUGGAGGCACACCCGCCCCUUCAAAGAUGGAAUAAUUAAGUAUGUUUUCACGGUGGAAGAUACCUAGCUGGAUACCACCUUGCUCGGAGGCUCAGUGAAGGCAGCAGCAGGAAAGGCAAAAUAGCAAUGCUGCAGCAUUUCAUUCACCCGGUGACUGCAGCCUAACACUGUACAGCAUAUUUCAUCACUAGGCACUUCUGAUGGGGAAGAAGAAAAUCAGGAGUAUGUAAGCCAGCAGGUUUUCUCCACAACAACUUCUGAACUGCAGUCUGUUUGAACAAUGUGAACUGGGCAUUUCAGCAGCAGUGCCCCUACAGAUCCACAAUCAACCUUAGCUUAUCCUGGUGCCAGUUCUGGAGGGUGUGCUUAAUGGGUGUCAAAUUGGGAGCUUGCCCCAGGGACUGAAAUGACUAGCUAGAGCACCACACCUGAGCUCAACAAGGGUCCCAAAGAGCAGUCUGAACUACCGGGCACAGAUCUUCUGUUUGAACUUGGGCUCUGGUAACCUUCAUGUCUACACAAGGGAGAAGAAAGCGAAAUCCCAAAUUAUGCAGACAUUUGUAGGUCAUGAAGCUGUUUCUCUUUUUGAUUUAGAAUAAUCCAGGCCUCAAAAAGGGCAUGGCUGGUUGUUCCUACAAAUAAAAUUCCACAGCUCAAAGGCAAAAUAUUUUAAAGACAAUGUACAAUAAGAGCAGGGGUUUCCCCUCCCCUCUCAAACCAUGUAAAAGCUGUUUUGUGAAAUUAAGCUGGAAAUAUCAUAAGUGGGAAAUGACCACAGAAUAAAUAGGAACCUUUCAGAACGGCAGAAAA